rnacentral:rRNA from 1 species
AUUGAACGCUGGCGGCAUGCUUUACACAUGCAAGUCGAACGGUAACAGGCCGCAAGGUGCUGACGAGUGGCGAACGGGUGAGUAAUGCAUCGGAACGUGCCCAGUCGUGGGGGAUAACGCAGCGAAAGCUGCGCUAAUACCGCAUACGAUCUCUGGAUGAAAGCGGGGGACCGAAAGGCCUCGCGCGAUUGGAGCGGCCGAUGUCAGAUUAGGUAGUUGGUGGGGUAAAGGCCCACCAAGCCAACGAUCUGUAGCUGGUCUGAGAGGACGACCAGCCACACUGGGACUGAGACACGGCCCAGACUCCUACGGGAGGCAGCAGUGGGGAAUUUUGGACAAUGGGCGCAAGCCUGAUCCAGCAAUGCCGCGUGCAGGAAGAAGGCCUUCGGGUUGUAAACUGCUUUUGUACGGAACGAAACGGUCCGGGUUAAUACCCUGGGCUAAUGACGGUACCGUAAGAAUAAGCACCGGCUAACUACGUGCCAGCCGCCGCCGUAA